rnacentral:rRNA from 1 species
ACUGCUCAGUAACACGUGGACAACCUGCCCUUAGGUUGGGUAUAAACCCGGGAAACUGGGUAUAAUACCCGAUAGGUCUCGAUUGCUGGAAUGCAUCGAGAUUUAAAGCUCCGGCGCCUAAGGAUGGGUCUGCGGCCUAUCAGGUAGUAGUGGGUGUAGCGUACCUACUAGCCUACGACGGGUACGGGUUGUGAGAGCAAGAGCCCGGAGAUGGAUUCUGAGACACGAAUCCAGGCCCUACGGGGUGCAGCAGGCGCGAAAACUUUACAAUGCUGGCAACAGCGAUAAGGGAACCUCGAGUGCCAGGUUACAAAUCUGGCUGUCGAGAUGCCUAAAAAGCAUUUCAUAGCAAGGGCCGGGCAAGACCGGUGCCAGCCGCCGCGGUAACACCGGCGGCUCGAGUGGUAACCGUUAUUAUUGGGUCUAAAGGGUCUGUAGCCGGCCGGAUAAGUCUCUUGAGAAAUCUGGCAGCUUAACUGUCAGGCUUUCAGGAGAUACUGUCUGGCUCGAGGCCGGGAGAGGUGAGAGGUACUUCAGGGGUAGGGGUGAAAUCUUGUAAUCCUUGAAGGACCACCAGUGGCGAAGGCGUCUCACCAGAACGGACCUGACGGCAAGGGACGAAAGCUAGGGGCACGAACCGGAUUAGAUACCCGGGUAGUCCUAGCCGUAAACGAUACUCGCUAGGUGUCGGCCACGGUGCGACCGUUGUCGGUGCCGUAGGGAAGCCGUUAAGCGAGCCACCUGGGAAGUACGGCCGCAAGGCUGAAACUUAAAGGAAUUGGCGGGGGAGCAC